rnacentral:misc_RNA from 1 species
AUUAAGAAGCUUUACUUUGGCAGGUUUGUAAACAUUGCGCUGCUCUUUAGCUUUUCAUGUCAUCUUAAUGGUAGAUAGAACACAGGAAAAACAUAAUGAUCACAGCAGUUCAGUUGCAAGUGGCAUAAAAAGAACAAAAAGAUUUUGCAUUUAUGUGUGUAUUAUUGCUGUCAAAUUUAUUUGAUUUACUUGCUGUUAGUACCUUCUAAUCUCAUAGU